UAUUGUGGGUCCCAGUAUUUCAAUGCUUUACAAAUUUAGAGCAGACUAGGAUAUCUUACUUUGAUGGCUCCUGUUUCCCAUAGCUUCAUUAGUCAUCUGGCUCACUUCAUUUUGUUACAAUCAGUUCUUGGAUCCUGCUGUACAUACUUAUUAUUGUAGCUAUUGUUUUGCUUUUACUACUGUUUUUUAUUACUUCCCUAGGUUUAUUAUGCUUAAGGUAUUCCUUUUCGUUAUCAUUAAAAUGUGUGUUGUGGAACCACCUUU
rnacentral:lncRNA from 1 species